rnacentral:rRNA from 1 species
UUAAGCGAACAAGCGUACACGGUGGAUGCCCUGGCAGUCAGAGGCGAUGAAGGACGUGCUAAUCUGCGAAAAGCGCCGGUAAGGUGAUAUGAACCGUUAUAACCGGCGAUGUCCGAAUGGGGAAACCCGGUGCACUUCGGUGCAUCAUCGUUAGCUGAAUACAUAGGCUAACGAGGCGAACCGGGGGAACUGAAACAUCUAAGUACCCCGAGGAAAAGAAAUCAACCGAGAUUCCCCCAGUAGCGGCGAGCGAACGGGGAACAGCCCAGAGCCUGAAUCAGCUUGUGUGUCAGUGGAACGGUCUGGAAAGGCCGGCGAUACAGGGUGACAGCCCCGUACACGAAGGCACACAGGCUGUGAGCUCGAUGAGUAGGGCGGGACACGUGAUAUCCUGUCUGAAGAUGGGGGGACCAUCCUCCAAGGCUAAAUACUCCUGACUGACCGAUAGUGAACCAGUACCGUGAGGGAAAGGCGAAAAGAACCCCGGCGAGGGGAGUGAAACAGAACCUGAAACCGUGUACGUACAAGCAGUGGGAGCCUUCGUAAGAGGGUGACUGCGUACCUUUUGUAUAAUGGGUCAGCGACUUAUAUUCUGUAGCAAGGUUAACCGUAUAGGGGAGCCGAAGGGAAACCGAGUCUUAACCGGGCGUUAAGUUGCAGGGUAUAGACCCGAAACCCGGUGAUCUAGCCAUGGGCAGGUUGAAGGUUGGGUAACACUAACUGGAGGACCGAACCGACUAAUGUUGAAAAAUUAGCGGAUGACCUGUGGCUGGGGGUGAAAGGCCAAUCAAACCGGGAGAUAGCUGGUUCUCCCCGAAAGCUAUUUAGGUAGCGCCUCGUGAACUCAUCUCCGGGGGUAGAGCACUGUUUCGGCUAGGGGGCCAUCCCGGCUUACCAACCCGAUGCAAACUGCGAAUACCGGAGAAUGUUAUCACGGGAGACACACGGCGGGUGCUAACGUCCGUCGUGAAGAGGGAAACAACCCAGACCGCCAGCUAAGGUCCCAAAGUCAUGGUUAAGUGGGAAACGAUGUGGGAAGGCCCAGACAGCCAGGAUGUUGGCUUAGAAGCAGCCAUCAUUUAAAGAAAGCGUAAUAGCUCACUGGUCGAGUCGGCCUGCGCGGAAGAUGUAACGGGGCUAAACCAUGCACCGAAGCUGCGGCAGCGACGCUUAUGCGUUGUUGGGUAGGGGAGCGUUCUGUAAGCCUGCGAAGGUGUGCUGUGAGGCAUGCUGGAGGUAUCAGAAGUGCGAAUGCUGACAUAAGUAACGAUAAAGCGGGUGAAAAGCCCGCUCGCCGGAAGACCAAGGGUUCCUGUCCAACGUUAAUCGGGGCAGGGUGAGUCGACCCCUAAGGCGAGGCCGAAAGGCGUAGUCGAUGGGAAACAGGUUAAUAUUCCUGUACUUGGUGUUACUGCGAAGGGGGGACGGAGAAGGCUAUGUCGGCCGGGCGACGGUUGUCCCGGUUUAAGCGUGUAGGCUGACUUUCCAGGCAAAUCCGGAAAGUUAAGGCUGAGGCGUGAUGACGAGGCACCACGGUGCUGAAGUGACAAAUGCCCUGCUUCCAGGAAAAGCCUCUAAGCAUCAGGUAACAUCAAAUCGUACCCCAAACCGACACAGGUGGUCAGGUAGAGAAUACCAAGGCGCUUGAGAGAACUCGGGUGAAGGAACUAGGCAAAAUGGUGCCGUAACUUCGGGAGAAGGCACGCUGACAUGUAGGUGAAGCCCCUGCGGGUGGAGCUGAAGUCAGUCGAAGAUACCAGCUGGCUGCAACUGUUUAUUAAAAACACAGCACUGUGCAAACACGAAAGUGGACGUAUACGGUGUGACGCCUGCCCGGUGCCGGAAGGUUAAUUGAUGGGGUUAUCGCAAGAGAAGCUCCUGAUCGAAGCCCCGGUAAACGGCGGCCGUAACUAUAACGGUCCUAAGGUAGCGAAAUUCCUUGUCGGGUAAGUUCCGACCUGCACGAAUGGCGUAAUGAUGGCCAGGCUGUCUCCACCCGAGACUCAGUGAAAUUGAACUCGCUGUGAAGAUGCAGUGUACCCGCGGCAAGACGGAAAGACCCCGUGAACCUUUACUACAGCUUGACACUGAACAUUGAGCCUUGAUGUGUAGGAUAGGUGGGAGGCUUUGAAGCGUGGACGCCAGUCUGCGUGGAGCCGACCUUGAAAUACCACCCUUUAAUGUUUGAUGUUCUAACCUGGCGCCAUAAUCUGGCGUGGGGACAGUGUCUGGUGGGUAGUUUGACUGGGGCGGUCUCCUCCCAAAGUGUAACGGAGGAGCACGAAGGUCAGCUAAUCCUGGUCGGACAUCAGGAGGUUAGUGCAAUGGCAUAAGCUGGCUUGACUGCGAGAGUGACGGCUCGAGCAGGUGCGAAAGCAGGUCAUAGUGAUCCGGUGGUUCUGUAUGGAAGGGCCAUCGCUCAACGGAUAAAAGGUACUCCGGGGAUAACAGGCUGAUACCGCCCAAGAGUUCAUAUCGACGGCGGUGUUUGGCACCUCGAUGUCGGCUCAUCACAUCCUGGGGCUGAAGUAGGUCCCAAGGGUAUGGCUGUUCGCCAUUUAAAGUGGUACGCGAGCUGGGUUUAGAACGUCGUGAGACAGUUCGGUCCCUAUCUGCCGUGGGCGCUGGAGAAUUGAGGGGGGCUGCUCCCAGUACGAGAGGACCGGAGUGGACGCAUCACUGGUGUUCGGGUUGUCAUGCCAAUGGCACUGCCCGGUAGCUAAAUGCGGAAGAGAUAAGUGCUGAAAGCAUCUAAGCACGAAACUUGCCCCGAGAUGAGUUCUCCCUGACUCCUUGAGAGUCCUGAAGGAACGUUGAAGACGACGACGUUGAUAGGCCGGGUGUGUAAGCGCAGCGAUGCGUUGAGCUAACCGGUACUAAUGAACCGUGAGGCUUAACCUU